UGGGAGCCACUGUGGUUGUAGUGGGAGCCGCUGUGGUUGUUGUGGGAGACGCAGUGGUUGUUGUGGGAGCCGCUGUGGUUGUUGUGGGAGUCGCUGUUGUUGUUGUGGGAGCUUCUGUAGUUGUUGUGAGGUAAGCUAUAGUUGUUGUGGGAGCCGCUGUGGUUGUAGUGGGAGCCACUGUGGUUGUAGUGGGAGCCGCUGUGGUUGUAGUGGGGGCGCUGUGGUUGUAGUGGGAGCAGCUGUGGUUGUAGUGGGAGCCACUGAGGUUGUAGUGGGAGCCGCUGUGGUUGUAGUGGGAGCCGCAGUGGUUGUAGUCGGAGCCGCUGUGGUUGUAGUGGGAGCCGCUGUGGUUGUUGUGGGAGCCGCUGUGGUUGUAGUGGGAGCCGCUGUGGUUGUAGUGGGAGCCGCUGUGGUUGUAGUGGGAGCCGCUGUGGUUGUAGUGGGAGUCACAGUGGUUGUAGUGGGAGCCGCUGUGGUUGUAGUGGGAGGCGCUGUGGUUGUAGUGGGAGCAGCUGUGGUUGUAGUGGGAGCCGCUGUGGUUGUAGUGGGAGCCGCUGUGGUUGUAGUGGGAGCCGCUGUGGUUGUAGUGGGAGCCGCUGUGGUUGUUGUGGGAGACGCUGUUGUUGUUGUGGGAGCCUCUGUAGUUGUUGUGAGGUAAGCUGUAGUUGUUGUGGGAGCUUCUGUGGUUGUAGUGGGAGCCACUGUGGUUGUAGUGGGAGCCACUGUGGUUGUAGUGGGGGCGCUGUGGAUGUAGUGGGAGCAGCUGUGGUUGUAGUGGGAGCCACUGUGGUUGUAGUGGGAGGCGCUGUGGUUGUAGUGGGAGCCGCAGUGGUUGUAGUCGGAGCAGCUGUGGUUGUAGUGGGAGCCGCUGUGGUUGUAGUGGGAGACUCUGUGGUUGUUGUGGGAGCCGCUGUGGUUGUUGUGGGAGUCGCUGUGGUUGUUGUGGGAGCCUCCGUGGUUGUUAUGAGGUAAGCUUUGGUUGUUGUGGGAGCCACUGUGGUUGUAGUGGGAGACUCUGUGGUUGUUGUGGGAGCCGCUGUGGUUGUAGUGGGAGCAGCUGUACUUGUAGUGGGAGAUGCUGUGGUUGUAGUGGGAGCCGCUGUGGUUGUAGUGGGAGCCGCUGUGGUUGUAGUGGGAGCCGCUGUGGUUGUAGUGGGAGCCACUGUGGUUGUAGUGGGAGACGCAGUGGUUGUAGUGGGAGCCGCUGUGGUUGUAGUGGGAGCCGCUGUGGUUGUAGUGGGAGCCGCUGUGGUUGUAGUGGGAGCCACAGUGGUUGUAGUGGGAGACGCUGUGGUUGAAGUGGGAGCGGCUGUGGUUGUAG
ensembl:lncRNA